rnacentral:ncRNA from 1 species
UGCCGUAGUGUCAUCACUGCGAUGGCAGAGGGAGGAAGCCGGUGUGAAUCCGGCGCGGUCCCGCCACUGUAACCGGGGAGCGAACCCCACCCGGGCCACUGUCCGACGACGGGCGGGAAGGCCGGGGUGAGCACCGAUCCGGGAGCCAGGAGACUC